AUGCGAAGGGGGCAAGCGUUGUUCGGAAUAACUGGGCGUAAAGCGCACGUAGGCGGAUUGUUUAGUUAGAGGUGAAAUCCCAGGGCUCAACCCUGGAACUGCCUUUAAUACUGGCAGUCUAGAGACCGAGAGAGGUGAGUGGAAUUCCGAGUGUAGAGGUGAAAUUCGUAGAUAUUCGGAGGAACACCAGUGGCGAAGGCGGCUCACUGGCUCGGUACUGACGCUGAGGUGCGAAAGCGUGGGGAGCAAACAGGAUUAGAAACCCCAGUAGUCC
rnacentral:rRNA from 1 species